CCCGACCUGGGCUUGGCUCCCCGACCCGGGGCUAGACUCCACGGCUGGGACUUUCCCGGCUCCUCCGUUCUCGGCCCAGACCCCUCUCCGGACGCUGGUGGGCGUCGUCUCGCCAGCCGGGACCGGGACCACCCACCCCGGGGCCCGGUGCAAGUCGCGGGAUCUGUGCGAGCCUCCGUUUCCAUGAGCGUACGGUGUAACCGUGAGGGGGCAUGCCGUCCGACAGCUGUCGCGAGGGUGCAGUGAGCUAGCGCAGGCCGAACGCUGAGCACGGGGCUCGGGAAACAAGCGCGGCUGACACUGGUCCGCAGGCCCAGGACUCCCCCUGCCUUUACUCGCCCCCGAGUUUCUCGCUGGGGUGACCAUCCCCGCCGCGCCCCCAACCCCAGGUGCCCGUGGCAGCUCUUGUCUGCUGCUGCGUUGCGUUCCCCCUCCGCGCCUCCAGUAGUGGGGUCGGGAGGGUCUUAGGAGCACCUACUGUGUGUCGAGCCCUGUGUCAGACGCAGCUGGACCGGGAGUGAGCCAAACCCGAGGGACUGGGACGGGAGGGCGGAUAGGCUCCCAGGAAAUUACCUUCUUUUGGUUGGGCAGAGAAUGUUAGCGGGCUGCACGUCGUAUCCUCGCGGUGAUUGUCAUUGUCACGGCAGAGUUUGGUGAAAGCUGGGAGCGCUUCUUGUAGGAGGUGUGGGAUUUCAGCGGAGACUUUAAGAACGGGGAGGGGUGGGGGGAAGGAGGACAGACAUCACAGGGAAAGGCUUGGAGGGAGGAUUAAGUGGUGUCAUUCCUUCUGAGGGAAACUCAGGCUCCCGCUGGUGAUCUCUGUCCUUCGGGACUGGCUCUCCCUUUCCAUCAGACCCAGACUUCCUCAUUCAGCCUCAAUUUCAAAUUCCCUCUCUGUCUUUCCCCAGGAAAAAUGUUUUUUAUUUCAGAACCGUCUUCGAAAGAGGAGUGCGCCGGCUGGGAUUAAAUAAUAGGCCUGUUUUCCCAUUUUGCCAAGGAAAGAAUAGUAGGGUUUUUUACAUUUCUCGCACGAAUUUGUUUGGGGGCCCCCGCCCCCCCCCCGCACCUGCAGCUGACAGUUUGCAGACAGCCAGAUGCGAGCGUUCAUUGUCUGGCUCCCCACCUGUUCUGGGCACGGGGCAUUCAGAGCUGCGAGCCACGGGCGCGGCCGUCAGGAACCUGCAGUUGAGAAGACAAAACAGAGGUGCCCCCUGGUACCUCAGCAUCGGGUCAUUAUCACUCCCGUCUCUCGUGGGGGCCAGGAAGGUGGCGGACAGCACGUUGGAGGCAUCUGGGAGUCAGUGCCCAGCUCACGUGUGGAGGCGCGGUUUCUUGACUCCAUUUGUUUGCCUCUUGGUGUCGUACGCAUUGCUUUGCAAAGAGCCCCCUGGGUUUUGGGUUCCUCUGGGUGAGUCCAGAGAGGGCCGGCCCACUCCCUUAUGCCCCUGACGUUCUGACUUGGCCCCAAGUCUGCAUGUUGCCUUCCAGCCUUCCGUUCUGGGGUGUUGAUUUCUGUCCUCGUGUGUCCCUCCUGUGGUAAGUCACUUUUCAGAUUUCUUUCUACGUCAAGAAUGGCCAGUUAGUUUCCUAAAGGAUCAUUUCUAGGAGCCUGUUUGGUGAGGAAGUCCUGUGUGCCCCACUUGCUAUAGGGGAAAAAUGCAGCUGUCUACCCCUUUCCGUGGUGGGUCUGCAUUUUCUUUUUUCAGGGAAGGGAGGGAGGGGAGAGAGGGGAGGGAGGGGAGGGAAAGCCUGCUUUCUGGUAACGCCGCCUCUCCUGAAGAGGGGCAGGGCCAAAUCCCAGCUCAGCCUCUUCCUUGCCGUGCAGCCUCUCUGACCCUCUGUUUCCUUCUCCGUGGCAUGCUUCUGGGGUCGCUGCCCUCUGAGAACGCCAGGGGAGAGUGUGUGCCUAGUCCUUUCCCUCCCUUUCAGCUUCCCCCUGCUCCAGAUUUUGACAAGCUCAGUUUCCUAUGGGUCGGAAGAGGCCGCAGCGGUCCAGAUGUGCACGGGGAGGCGCUCUUGCCAGGGUGGGCUGGGCCAGCUUUGCUUGGACUCAUUUUUAAGCAACAGCGUUGCUAAGGUGCUUGGUGGACGCAGCCUGCAGGUGGGACGUUGGGGUCCCCGUGAGGCCCAGCACCUCCAGUCUUGGGCCGCUGGGCUCCUGAGACUUUUGGCAGAGUCUGAGGCCCGUGAGGGGCCGGGGCAGGGAUCCUGUUCCUUCCAGACCUUCAGCUCCAGCCCCGUGCCUCCCAGUGUGGGAUUCAGGAUCCCCACCUCCGAACUUCGGUGUGAUAUUGCCCAGUUUCGGCAGCAUGCACUUGGGCAGGCUCUUUAUGACUCUGAAUGGUAGGGAUGAUUGUCCCCGUUUUACAGAUGAGGAAACUGAGGCCCAGAGAUGGGAAGCCACUCUCCUGUGUGCACGUGGCCGCCCCUGCCGCUCCCCAGAUGCCGCAGCCCCCAGGGGCCCAGCCGCGCAGGCCUCCCACGGGAGAAGCCGUUGGUAUCCUUGGUGGUGCUUCUGCUGUGCCGUUGCUGGUUUUCUGUGAGGAUGGCCUUAGAGGAGAGAUGUGGGGGUUUUCUGUGCCCCCGGGUGCGCCCUGCCUGUGGUUUCAGGGGCAGAGUCCCAGCCGGUGAAGCCUGCACGUUACCUCUGUUCAAAGCACUUCUUUUCAGGACUUGGGUAACGUUUGUUUUAAAAACGUUGGACGAUCCCCCAAAAUCCGAAGAAACACGUGGAAAUCGCUGCCAAUCCGUGCCUCCUGGCUUGCGGUGUUCCCCCUGGCCUGAGCUGGAGGAGGCCUGCUGUCCUUUCAUGUAGCUGUGACCCUGCUGCACUGGUGACGUCGGAUCGUGUUUUCCGAGGCUCCGCAGCCCCGGUGAGGAGAGGGGCCGUCCUGGGACCGAGUCCCCAGCUUUCCACACCUGGCAGUCCUCUGGAUGCCCGAGGAGCCUUAAAAAAACCUGCCUUCGCGCCCCGAGCCGGUUUGGAGCCACACACCUAUCGCUGUGUCUGCACAUAAAGCUGCUUCUGGCCCUGUGA